rnacentral:rRNA from 1 species
AGCGAACGCUGGCGGCGUGCUUAACACAUGCAAGUCGAGUGCGUAGCCCUUUGUAGCAAUACAGAGGGUGGGCGCACGGCGCACGGGUGAGUAACACGUGGGUAACCUGCCCUUCGGUGGGGAAGUAACCCCGCGAAAGCGGGGCGUAAUUCCGCAUAACAUUCCGGGGACGACAUGUUCUCGGACUCAAAGGAGUGAUUCGCCGGAGGAGGGGCCCGGCCGCCCGACUUAGCUUGUUGGUAGGGGUAACGGCCUACCAAGGCUUUGAUCGGUAGCCGGUCUGAGAGGAUGGCCGGCCACACUGGAACUGAGACACGGUCCAGACUCCUACGGGAGGCAGCAGUGGGGAAUCUUGCGCAAUGGGCGAAAGCCUGACGCAGCGACGCCGCGU